rnacentral:rRNA from 1 species
GUGGGGAAUCUUGCGCAAUGGGCGAAAGCCUGACGCAGCCAUGCCGCGUGAAUGAUGAAGGUCUUAGGAUUGUAAAAUUCUUUCACCGGGGACGAUAAUGACGGUACCCGGAGAAGAAGCUCCGGCUAACUUCGUGCCAGCAGCCGCGGUAAUACGAAGGGGGCUAGCGUUGCUCGGAAUUACUGGGCGUAAAGGGCGCGUAGGCGGACAGCUUAGUCAGAGGUGAAAGCCCAGGGCUCAACCUUGGAAUUGCCUUUGAUACUGGCUGUCUUGAGUUUGGGAGAGGUGAGGGGAACUCCGAGUGUAGAGGUGAAAUUCGUAGAUAUUCGGAAGAACACCAGUGGCGAAGGCGACUCACUGGCCCAAUACUGACGCUGAGGCGCGAAAGCGUGGGGAGCAAACAGGAUUAGAAACCCUAGUAGUCC